rnacentral:rRNA from 1 species
CAGAACGAACGCUGGCGGCAUGCCUAACACAUGCAAGUCGAACGGGAUCCUAGCUUGGCUAGGUGAGAGUGGCGGACGGGUGAGUAACACGUGGGAAUCUGCCUUUUGGUUCGGGAUAACCCGCGGGAAACUGCGGCUAAUACCGAAUGCCCUCGAGAGAGGAAAGAUUUAUCGCCAGAAGAGGAGCCCGCGUCCGAUUAGGUAGUUGGUGGGGUAAAGGCCUACCAAGCCGACGUUCGGUAGCUGGUCUGAGAGGAUGAUCAGCCACACUGGGACUGAGAUACGGCCCAGACUCCUACGGGAGGCAGCAGUGGGGAAUAUUGGACAAUGGGGGGCAACCCCUGAUCCAGCAAUGCCGCGUGAGUGAUGAAGGCCUUAGGGUUGUAAAGCUCUUUUGCCAGGGAAGAUGAUGACUGUACCUGGAGAAUAAGCCCCGGCUAACUUCGUG